AUUGAACGCUGGCGGCAUGCCUUACACAUGCAAGUCGAGCGGCAGCGCGGGGGCGAACCCUCGGCGGCGAGCGGCGGACGGGUGAGUAAUGCAUCGGAACGUGUCCUCUUGUGGGGGAGUAACCAGUCGAAAGACUGGCUAAUACCGCAUGAGCUCGUAAGAGGAAAGCAGGGGACCCGCAAGGGCCUUGCGCGAGAGGAGCGGCCGAUGCCCGAUUAGCUAGUUGGNGGGGUAAAAGCCUACCAAGGCGACGAUCGGUAGCUGGUCUGAGAGGACGACCAGCCACACUGGGACUGAGACACGGCCCACGACUCCUACGGGAGGCAGCAGUGGGGAAUUUUGACAAUGGGGGAAACCCUGAUCCAGCCAUGCCG
rnacentral:rRNA from 1 species